GUAGGGAAUUUUCGUCAAUGGGCGCAAGCCUGAACGAGCAAUGCCGCGUGAGUGAGGAAGGUCUUCGGAUCGUAAAGCUCUGUUGCGGGGGAAAAACCGGAAGGACAGGAAAUGGUCUUUCUCUGAUGGUACCCCGCCAGAAAGUCACGGCUAACUACGUGCCAGCAGCCGCGGUAAUACGUAGGUGGCAAGCGUUAUCCGGAAUGAUUGGGCGUAAAGGGUGCGCAGGCGGCAUGUCAAGUCUGAAGUGAAAGGUACAGGCUCAACCUGUACAGGCUUUGGAAACUGGCAUGCUAGAGGACAGGAGAGGGCGGUGGAACUCCAUGUGUAGCGGUAAAAUGCGUAGAUAUAUGGAAGAACACCAGUGGCGAAGGCGGCCGCCUGGACUGUUUCUGACGCUCAGGCACGAAAGCGUGGGGAGCAAAUAGGA
rnacentral:rRNA from 1 species